GAUGAACGCUGGCGGCGUGCCUAAUACAUGCAAGUCGAGCGAACAGAUAAGGAGCUUGCUCCUUUGACGUUAGCGGCGGACGGGUGAGUAACACGUGGGUAACCUACCUAUAAGACUGGGAUAACUUCGGGAAACCGGAGCUAAUACCGGAUAAUAUUUCGAACCGCAUGGUUCGAUAGUGAAAGAUGGUUUUGCUAUCACUUAUAGAUGGACCCGCGCCGUAUUAGCUAGUUGGUAAGGUAACGGCUUACCAAGGCGACGAUACGUAGUCGACCUGAGAGGGUGAUCGGCCACACUGGAACUGAGACACGGUCCAGACUCCUACGGGAGGCAGCAGUAGGGAAUCUUCCGCAAUGGGCGAAAGCCUGACGGAGCAACGCCGCGUGAGUGAUGAAGGUCUUCGGAUCGUAAAACUCUGUUAUUAGGGAAGAACAUACGUGUAAGUAACUGUGCACGUCUUGACGGUACCUAAUCAGAAAGCCACGGCUAACUACGUG
rnacentral:rRNA from 1 species